rnacentral:lncRNA from 1 species
UUUUGCUGACUGAAAUUAUUGGUAUUUUUCAGAGCACAAAAGAAAGAAGUUGUGCUGGAUGUUCCCAUGCUUUAUAUCUUACAGUUUCUUAUAGCAAGGCUAGGUAUACGCUAUUCUGACCUGAAAAUGCUUGACAGCUUUUUUGCACAAGAUUAUCUAGCCUGGAGAAGGUAACUAAGACCAAUAGCGUGUCCUUGAAACUCCGGACACAACUACGGCAGUGUAUGUAUGUAUUUAAGUAGACAAAAUGUGUGCAUCAUAGAAUAAUGGUCAAAUUGUCAAUGUUAUUGUAUAUGUACAGUUGAUGUAGUAGAGUAACAUAAGUAUGAAAACUCUAUAAUGCCAUUCUGUAGUAGAUCUUAACAGUACAAGACAAGAACACAAUCAAACUGAGCGCUUAUCUUUCAAAUUCACAGAUAUAUUUGGUAAUCAACUGACUUCCUAGUCAUAACUGAGGUCCACAAACAAGACUUCAACACUACACCUUUACCACUGUAAUUAAACUGUCUUUCUAAUGUAAUUUCAGGGCAUAAAUCUAUGGUGUGCUUUUUCUGAGACAUAUCUAAAUCCUUUAACAGCUGUAGGUCUCUUCAAGAGAAUUUAAAUGUGAGGGUAUUGGUAAUGGAAACAACUUCUGGAUGCUGUUAUGCGAAAAGACCAAGGCAGCAGUGGCAUUGACUUUGAAUCUUUCAUUUUUUUUUCAAGCAUAAGACAAAAACUGGAUGAAGUCAAUAUCCGAUCUCUAGAUGCACAGGUUCUGGGUAUACAGUCUAACUACAGCCACAAGUCACAAAGCUUUGUGAUGGACACAAAGGGCAGAAACAUGUUUGCAAACUAAUGUUCAAAAAACAUGUAAUUACCUCAGAUUACAUUAGUUCUUGCUUCAUCUGUAUCUUCAAGAUGAUACUGAGUCCUUUUAAUGGACAGGAAUAACACAGGUCAUGACUAAUUAACUGAAGACCAAGCUAAAAUUCAGAAUGCCAGUACAUUUUUAACGUCAUAUCUGAAACUUCC